rnacentral:rRNA from 1 species
CCUACGGGGGGCAGCAGUGGGGAAUAUUGCACAAUGGGCGCAAGCCUGAUGCAGCCAUGCCGCGUGUGUGAAGAAGGCCUUCGGGUUGUAAAGCACUUUCAGCGGGGAGGAAGGCGGUGAGGUUAAUAACCUCAUCGAUUGACGUUACCCGCAGAAGAAGCACCGGCUAACUCCGUGCCAGCAGCCGCGGUAAUACGGAGGGUGCAAGCGUUAAUCGGAAUUACUGGGCGUAAAGCGCACGCAGGCGGUCUGUCAAGUCGGAUGUGAAAUCCCCGGGCUCAACCUGGGAACUGCAUUCGAAACUGGCAGGCUAGAGUCUUGUAGAGGGGGGUAGAAGUCCAGGUGUAGCGGUGAAAUGCGUAGAGAUCUGGAGGAAUACCGGUGGCGAAGGCGGCCCCCUGGACAAAGACUGACGCUCAGGUGCGAAAGCGUGGGGAGCAAACAGGAUUAGAUACCCCGGUAGUC